rnacentral:rRNA from 1 species
GAUGAACGCUGGCGGCGUGCCUAAUACAUGCAAGUCGAGCGAACGGACGAGAAGCUUGCUUCUCUGAUGUUAGCGGCGGACGGGUGAGUAACACGUGGAUAACCUACCUAUAAGACUGGGAUAACUUCGGGAAACCGGAGCUAAUACCGGAUAAUAUUUUGAACCGCAUGGUUCAAAAGUAAAAGACGGUCUUGCUGUCACUUAUAGAUGGAUCCGCGCUGCAUUAGCUAGUUGGUAAGGUAACGGCUUACCAAGGCAACGAUGCAUAGCCGACCUGAGAGGGUGAUCCGCCACACUGGAACUGAGACACGGUCCAGACUCCUACGGGAGGCAGCAGUAGGGAAUCUUCCGCAAUGGGCGAAAGCCUGACGGAGCAACGCCGCGUGAGUGAUGAAGGUCUUCGGAUCGUAAAACUCUGUUAUUAGGGAAGAACAUAUGUGUAAGUAACCGUGCACAUCUUGACGGUACCUAAUCAGAAAGCCACGGCUAACUACGUG